AACCUGCCUGUGUGUCAGGACUCUUCUCAUGUCUUUCUCCUCCUUGAAGUAUCCCAGAUAAAAGGUGACCAAGGUAUGCUUACAGAGAAUAGGAAAAUGGAAACAGCAAAGAAAGAGGAUUGAAGACAACAGCUGUUUGAUAGAAAAUGGAAAAGAAUUUCUCCAUAUAUGCUCAAAACCCUGAUGUCACAGGAAAAGAGAGAAAUGUAUUAUGAAGAAAUAGUUUGCUGAACUUAAAUCACUGAAAAUGAGAGGAGAGGUAUGCUACAAGUAAUUAUAGCAGAAAAUAAAAGCUUUGACAAAAAGAAAUAUAGAAGAGGCUUUAACUUGCCACUAAUCACCAUCCUGUACUUAGGAAUAGAAGCAAGAAAAUGGAACAAUAUGAAAGAAUGAACAGGCACACCCUGCCUACACCCACCUCCCACUAAGUGGUCCUUGGCUGUCAGGUGCAAUCAACAAGGGAAGUUAAGCUUCCGCCCAGCAGGGGAGCAAGUAUAAAGGAGAGCGGAGAAGCCAAAAACCCACACUCAAUUUUGCAGCUUUGUAGGAUGUUCUCAAUUUGAGAAGAGAUCCUGUGAGCAUUUCUGCAUGAAAGCCAAGGGCAGGGGUCAGCGUUUUGCCUCUGAGGAGUUAGGUGUGGGGGAAAAGGGAAGAUAAAUUCUAAAGCAGCCAACAAAACACCGGGACUCCUCUGUGCGCCGGGAUCAUCCGCCAUUCCAGAAGAGGAUUUGGGGACCCCAGGAUUGCGCAAAAGUAAGACCAGAAAGAACGCAGAGAAGUAACCCCCUGAAUUUAUGGGACUCGUUUUCAGUCUUUCAAGAGCCAGUACUUCCUCCCCUCAUCACCAUGUGGACUUCUCAAGCUGAACACUCAUCUAUUUAUAAGUGUCCGGCGGUUGUCCUCGUGUUCCCCGCAGCCUUGCUUCUCUGAUCCUGUCUCCUUCAUCACUGGAUCGCAGGCUGAUGAAAGUCACUGCAAAAAAUCUGACUGGAUGUAUGAACACUUCAGCCUACUGAUAGUUUCUAGUUGCUCUGGAGGAUUAUAGAACUACCUAAUGAUCAACUUUGUGUGCAGUUUUCCAAAGACCUCCCUGAUGGCACUGUGGGAUGGAGCGCUGCAGAGUGAAGCUGAGCACUGCCAGCUUCAGUGAGUUCAGUCCCCGCCUGGGAGGUGACCCCGUGGUGCAGUAGCUCCCUCCUGCUCAUCUGCUGCUGCUUGCUGCUCCCUU